rnacentral:lncRNA from 1 species
AGAACACGGUUCCACACCCCCACCCCCUCACUGCCCGCUAGAUUUACAGGGAUUCAACAGAGUUGGAUUGCUGAGAAUAAAAUUACGGAUUUCUCCAUAAUGGACACACGCACUUUUUGUUUGUGCUGUUUCCUUUAGAAUGGACGAUGAGUCAAAAUUGUUCGUUUAUGCUUCUUCACAGAAGGAUCUUCUGUGUCGUAGGAGGUGGCCUGCAGCAAUCUGGACAUUCAGUGGUCCUCCUGUGAUUAAUAGGUGAACGGAUGAGCUAUUCUGAUAAGAACUGGGGAACUUUUGCCAUUCAAAAGCAAAUAGAAGAACUGGGAGAUUCCUCAACUUAGCUUUUCUUUUUUUUGGUUCUAAAGUGACUGCGAAUGGAGGUAGAAGAGAAGAAAAGCUUUCAAAAACAUCUUCCAUUAAGAAAAAUAUGUAUCUUCAUGAAGACCUAUCUGAGUAAAAUUACUAAAACAUAA